rnacentral:rRNA from 1 species
UACGUAGGGCGCGAGCGUUGUCCGGAUUUAUUGGGCGUAAAGAGCUCGUAGGCGGCUUGUCGCGUCGACUGUGAAAACUCGGGGCUCAACUCCGAGCUUGCAGUCGAUACGGGCAGGCUAGAGUUCGGUAGGGGAGACUGGAAUUCCUGGUGUAGCGGUGGAAUGCGCAGAUAUCAGGAGGAACACCGAUGGCGAAGGCAGGUCUCUGGGCCACUACUGACGCUGAGAAGCGAAAGCAUGGGGAGCGAACAGG